UACGAAGGGGGCUAGCGUUGCUCGGAAUCACUGGGCGUAAAGCGCACGUAGGCGGCUUUUUAAGUCAGAGGUGAAAUCCUGGAGCUCAACUCCAGAACUGCCUUUGAUACUGGAAAGCUUGAGUUCGGGAGAGGUGAGUGGAACUGCGAGUGUAGAGGUGAAAUUCGUAGAUAUUCGCAAGAACACCAGUGGCGAAGGCGGCUCACUGGCCCGAUACUGACGCUGAGGUGCGAAAGCGUGGGGAGCAAACAGG
rnacentral:rRNA from 1 species